UGGUGCGGUUGUCUGGAGGUAGAGGGAGGAGAGGGAGGCUGGCUUCUUGACCUCUGCGGCCUGCUGGGCUUUGGAGUCCGCCUGUGGCGGUGAAGGGGGCCGGGCUGUGGACUCCACACCAGGAGUAGCCCACGCAGCCCUCCGCGUCAAGCCUCUGCUUCCGUGUUUCUGAGUGACCUGGGUUGGGGGCAUCGACACUGGGAAUCUCAGGGUGAGGGGUGCUCGGCCCUAUUCUUAGGAUCCCGGAGUAGGGGAGGGGUUCAGUUCUGUUUGAGGAGCAUUUGGAGGAGGGCUCUUGGCUCUUGCCAGGGAGCUUGGAGUGUAGGAACCUCUGCGAGCGGAGUGAGGGGGCCUUGUCCCUGUCUUAGAGAGCUGUGGGUGAGGGGCGCUGUCUUGUUUUCAAAAGUCUGGGGCAAGGGUGUAACCAGGGUACAGGAAUGCAGAAGCACCUGGCUUUGGGGGUCCCAAACAGACCAGGUUCUGCCACUCCCGGCUGACAAAAUCCAAAGGCAGAGACGACUGGUGGUGAAACAAGAAAGGAAUUUAUUUCAGUGGGGCCAACACUAAGCACACUAGGCUCAAAGACUGUCUUCAAAGGGUUGACAGUGCUUCUAGGUUUAUAUAAGGAGAAUGUGGGACAAAGGUCGGUCUGUAGGUGCAAUGGGCAGUAAAGGGCAGGUCGAUCAUUGUCUUGGGGCCAAUCAGAGGGGGUCUUGCUGGCCUUAGGGCAGUCGUUAUUGCUUGAGGGGUAGUUUUGGUUCCCAUCAAGAGAUGCUUUGCCUGCAGGGUCUUUUGCCUGUAUUAAAAGAUAAGCUAAAGGGAUGUCUAGCUGGUUCAGUCAGUAGAGCAUGCAACUCUUGAUCUUAGGGCUUGUGAGUUCAAGCCCCAUGUUGGGGGUAAAGCUUACUUAAAAAAAAAAAAAAAGAUAGGCUGGAAAAAAGAUAAACUGAAAAGAACUUUAUUAGAAAGUACAGUUGAGGUAAAAAUGGAGGUACUUGAAGUCCUCGUUCAAGGGCGCAGCCCUGUCCCAAGGAGCUCAAGAUGAGGGGGCUUGGCCUAUCCUAAAGAGCCCAGUGUUUGAUGAAUUUGGUCCUGUGUCAGGGACACCAGGGUGGAGGGAGGGUUAUGGCCAUGUCCAGAAGAAUGGGGUGUUUGGGAUACUGCCCCUUCCCAGGGUAAAGUAGGCAUGGCACCUGUGCUGAGAAGCCAAGGGUGAGGGGAUACAGUCCUGUUCCUGGGAAGUCUGGGAUGAAGAGCAGGACCAUUUCCUGGAGAGCUGGGGUUGGGGGAUGGCUUGGGGCGUAUUGCCCAGCAUUCAUCUGACACUUCCCUGCAGUGGACCGUGAAAUUCAGACACAACAGCAAGUGGAAUGGAGCACUACCAGAAAGCUGGCUCUGUGGAACUCCCAGCACCUUCUCCGAUGCCCCAGCUACCUCCUGAUACCCUGGAGAUGCGGGUCCGAGAUGGCAGCAAAAUCCGCAACCUACUGGGGCUGGCACUGGGUCGACUGGAGGGUGGUAGUGCACGGCAUGUGGUGUUCUCAGGUUCUGGCCGCGCUGCAGGGAAGGCGGUCAGCUGUGCUGAGAUUGUCAAGCGGCGUGUUCCAGGCCUGCACCAGCUUACCAAGCUGCGCUUCCUGCAGACCGAGGACAGCUGGGUGCCAGUCUCACCUGACACUGGCCUGGAUCCCCUCACAGUGCGCCGCCAUGUACCUGCAGUGUGGGUACUGCUCAGCCGGGACCCCCUGGACCCCAAUGAGUGUGGCUACCAGCCUCCAGGAGCACCCCCUGGCCUGGGGCCCACAUCAAGCUCCAUCUGUGGCCCACGACCUCGAAGAAGGGUUCGAGACACCUGGUCCUGAAGAUCUGCCAAGCAAGCUAUUUUCCAGGCAUGAAUGUCUGGGAUGGCUUUGCCUUCUCUGAAAAACCUCUUGUAACUGUUCAACAUCCCCACCAAGACUUGAAUCCACAGAAGUGGGCCUCCCUGUCCUGCUUCCUCUUCUCUCUGGUGUGUGAAAAGGGACAGCUAUGAAGAGUUACAGGUGUGCAGUCUCAGCUGGGUUCUGGAUUGCUUAAGAAGGGUUUAUUUGGCAUUCUACCUACUGUGCCUCUGUCCUUUCUUCUGACAGAUCCAGGGAGUGGGUUAGGAAAUAAAGGUUCUGCCCAUUUGUCUGAUGAGCCUCUGCUUGACCUGCUAUGUGGAGGUGGGAUUAAAGGAGGGGGAGUCCCUGUACCCCUCCACCCCACCCCUGGUUUAGGGACAUUUUCUCUGCAGGAUUUAUUAUAGUAUAGUGAUUAAGGUCAUGGUCUCAGGUACCUACUGCCUGGAUUUGAAUCCUGGUUCUGCCAUGUGCUAGUAAGUUACUGCUUUGUGACCCUGGGCAAGUAGUGCUCUGAGCCUUAGUGUUUCCAUCCAUAAAACAGGAUAUAUGCGGUGCUUACCUCAUAGGGUUGUUAUGAGGAGUAAAUGUAGAAAUAUACACAUAUGACUUUUAGAUACCACCUGGGCAUUGCUAUAUAAAUGUUAAUUGCUAUCAUUAUUAAUGACUCUAUUUACAAACAUUUUUUCCUAUCUUAAAAACAUAGCUCAUGGGGCAGCUGGCUGGCUCAGUUGGAAUAUCAUGUGGCUCUUGAUCUCAGGAUCAUGAGUUCAGGGCCCAUGU